UCCUGGCUCAGAACGAACGUUGGCGGCGUGGAUUAGGCAUGCAAGUCGCGCGAAUCCCCGCAAGGGGGGAAGCGGCGUAAGGGGCAGUAAGGCGUGGGUACCUACCCGGGGGUCGGGGAUAGCCCGUCGAGAGACGGGGUAAUACCCGAUGACGUGGAGACACCAAAGGUCCGCCGCCCUCGGCGGGGCCCACGUGAUAUUAGCUAGUUGGCGGGGUAACGGCCCACCAAGGCGGGGAUGUCUAGCGGGUGUGAGAGCACGACCCGCGCCACUGGCACUGAGACACUGGCCAGACACCUACGGGUGGCUGCAGUCGAGGAUCUUCGGCAAUGGGGGAAACCCUGACCGAGCGACGCCGCGUGGGCGACGAAGGCCUUCGGGUUGUAAAGCCCUGUCGAGGGGGAGAAAGCCUUAACCGGGUGAUCUAUCCCUGGAGGAAGCACGGGCUAAGUUCGUGCCAGCAGCCGCGGUAAGACGAACCGUGCGAACGUUGUUCGGAAUCACUGGGCUUAAAGGGCGCGUAGGCGGGUUGCCGCGUCCGGGGUGAAAUCCCACGGCUCAACCGUGGGGCGGCCCCGGGUACGGGCAGCCUCGAGGAGAGUAGGGGCAUGCGGAACUCUGGGUGGAGCGGUGAAAUGCGUUGAUAUCCAGAGGAACUCCGGUGGCGAAGGCGGCAUGCUGGACCCUUCCUGACGCUGAGGCGCGAAAGCCAGGGGAGCGAACGGGAUUAGAUACCCCGGUAGUCCUGGCCCUAAACGAUGAGAACUAGGUAGCCGGCCGGACAUGGGCUGGCUGCCGGAGCCAAAGUGCUAAGUUCUCCGCCUGGGGAGUAUGGCCGCAAGGCUGAAACUCAAAGGAAUUGACGGGGGCUCACACAAGCGGUGGAGCAUGUGGCUUAAUUCGAGGCUACGCGAAGAACCUUAUCCCGGGCUUGACAUGUUCGAAAGAGGCUCGAAGUAGCCCGCGGAAACGUGGGGCCAACGGUAUCCAGUCCGGAGCGAGCUACAGGUGCUGCAUGGCUGUCGUCAGCUCGUGUCGUGAGAUGUCGGGUUAAGUCCCAUAACGAGCGAAACCCUUACCCUCAGUUGCUUACUAGGACUCUGGGGGGACUGCCGGUGUCAAACCGGAGGAAGGUGGGGAUGACGUCAAGUCCUCAUGGCCUUUAUGCCCGGGGCUGCACACGUGCUACAAUGGCGUGGACAAAGAGACGCGAGCCCGCGAGGGGGAGCCAAUCUCAGAAAGCACGCCCCAGUUCAGAUCGCAGGCUGCAACUCGCCUGCGUGAAGCCGGAAUCGCUAGUAAUCGCGGGUCAGCAACACCGCGGUGAAUGUGUUCCUGAGCCUUGUACACACCGCCCGUCAAGCCACGAAAGAGAGGGACGUCCGGAGUCGCCUUCACCGGUGCCGAAGACGGACUUCUUGAUUGGGACUAAGUCGUAACAAGGUAACC
rnacentral:rRNA from 1 species